AAAAAAAUUAACCAUCGAAGAGCAAAUUGAAUCCUUUCAUCUACCCUGUGUUACAUUUUUCUACCUGUUGUGCAAGGGAUUUGAACCAGUUGGAACAAUUCUCUUCUCAUCCAAAGUGUUGUUGUUCUUCUUCCCUUUCAUGGAAAAGUAUUUGUUGACAGCUUCAAGUGACCUGUUUGAUAAGGUAUUAUUCUUCUUCUUAGCACCAUGAAUGUGAAAUAAGAAAGCUUUCUUUUGUACAGCAUCAGACCCAAUACAUGCAAAAAUCAGAAGGCAACACAGCACUGCUAUGACUAGAACAGCUAAUCUCAUUUCAACCAGUAGUAGUACUUUAUAUUCCAAGAAAUUUUGCAAGAACAAACAAAACCCAGAAUUGAGCAAAACCAAACAGAGACUAUAUAUUUGAAAGGGAUCAGAGAGACAAAAAGAAAGAAGCCAAGAGGGGCGAACAGGAUGCAAUUGGUAUAAGAAGGCUGAGCCUUGAGGGAG
rnacentral:misc_RNA from 1 species